rnacentral:sRNA from 1 species
UUCGUGCUUCUACAUCCUUUGGGUCUCGA